UUGCUUGCUGUAAAAGGAAUCAUGAAGUACUUCGCCAUUUUAGUUUUUGCGAUUCUCGCUGUAACCGUCUCGGUACUGGGUGAUGCAUGUUACACGAAUUACGAUUGUGGACUUCUGUGCAACUCCCGAUGCUCCAACACCAGAGGCGUGUGCUCCCAGAACUACUGUUACUGUCUGCUAUUGAAGACCAGAAACGUACAAGGUCUUGAUUAUAACGUUGGCAGAACUAUACCUUCUAUGCCUUUAAUGGAUCAAUAACAUCCUAUGACAAAAUACUUUCAAACAAAUAUAUUUCUUUAUUGGAUUCGGAGGCCAUCUUUUGAUUUGAAUGUUUUGAAUAAAUUCUGAUUUCUUGCA